rnacentral:snRNA from 1 species
GGAAGCGUGUGCUAGUGAUUGCACAGCUGAACAUCGAUCGCUAAACGUACAGAAAACUUUGGCAGAUCUGCUCAGUAGGUGUUAUCACGUUGUCGUAAGCUUCAAGUAGCUUCUGUAAAAUAGACUCCCGAUUGCGCCUGCAUCUUCGUGGCUCGUUUACGACCUCGGAUUUGCACGCCUGCACGGUUGAGUCCUGACGUCGCUCCUCGAAGUACCGCGAUUUCCAAAUUGGGGGGUAAUCGAAUAGGUAAGACGAGGUAAUUUGUCGCUUCCAUAUACAGGCACUGCAGAUAGCGGUACGCCAUUUUUUGUU